CGGUAAUCCAGAGUGGUGGGGAAAAGGUACAGGACAGCAGGCAGGGUCAGGUCAGGCAGAGGUCGGUAAUCCAGAGUGGUGGGAAAAAGGUACAGGACGGCAGGCAGGGUCAGGUCAGGCAGAGGUCGGUAAUCCAGAGUGGUGGGAAAAAGGUACAGGACGGCAGGCAGGGUCAGGUCAGGCAGAGGUCGGUAAUCCAGAGUGGUGGGGAAAAGGUACAGGACGGCAGGCAGGGUCAGGUCAGGCAGAGGUCGGUAAUCCAGAGUGGUGGGGAAAAGGUACAGGACGGCAGGCAGGGUCAGGUCAGGCAGAGGUCGGUAAUCCAGAGUAGGGGCAAAGGUAGAGGACGACAGGCAGGGUCAGGUCAGGCAGGUGGGCUCAGAGUCCAGACAGGCAAGCGUCAAAACCAGGAGGAAGAGAAAAAGAGAGACUGGGGAAAAGCAGGAGCUGAGAAAAAUGCUAGUAGACAAGACCAACUGGUAACAGACAAACAGAGAACACCGGUAUAAAUACACAGGGGAUAAUGAGGAAGAUGGGCGACAUCUGGAGGGGUGUGGAGACAAUCACAAGGACUGGUGAAACAGAUCAGGGUGUGACAGUAGGCCUAACCAAUAGAAAGUUGAUGGGAUCCUCCUCUUGUUAAUAGAGGCCAUCACUCAGUUUUGUCAUGCAAAUGCAUAGUCUAUAGAAAGGAUGCGCAACAUCAGCUCAUGGGCUCUCAUGAAGUGUUUAUAUUUUCGAUUACAUUUGCACUGUUGUCAGAGUAAUUAGAGGGAGUUUGGUAGGCUACUAAUGACCAGCAGCAUUAUCAGAGCUUGGCACCCUCCGGCACCCUGAUUACCGUGACUAAAUGGUACGCGGAAUUUGACUGCAGUCAUGACUCGUGACCUCCGGUGUGGUAUUAAUAUGGUCACCGUAACAGCCCUGUAUCUGACCCGAACACAGAGAGCACAUCGCUCGGCUUUGUUUGAC
ensembl:lncRNA